UACAGAGGUCUCAAGCGUUGUUCGGAUUCAUUGGGCGUAAAGGGUGCGUAGGUGGCGGGGUAAGUCAGGUGUGAAAUCUCGAGGCCUAACCUCGAAACUGCACUUGAUACUGCCUUGCUCGAGUACUGGAGAGGAGAGUGGAAUUUACGGUGUAGCAGUGAAAUGCGUAGAUAUCGUAAGGAAGACCAGUGGCGAAGGCGAAUCUCUGGACAGUUACUGACGCUGAGGCACGAAGGCCAGGGGAGCAAACGGG
rnacentral:rRNA from 1 species